CACAGAUUAGCUUCUUCUUCUUCGUUGGUGUUCGUGGGGAGCUGCCCGCACCGCCACCUGCUGGGCGGAGGCAGCCGCGCACACACGUGACAGGUUGUUGUUCAGCAGGGAGGAAAGUAACUAAGAACAUUUACUCAGCCGAUGUCAGCUGGUCCUCCUGAACAACACAGAUUAGUUUGUGGACUGAAGUCUGGUCGACAGGACGACUUCAGGUCAAACUGUCAGAAUAAAAUCCUGCUGAUGAACUUGUUUCACUUCAAGAAUCUCAGGAGAGGACGAAGAAACAAGAAAUGACUGCAGGUGAACUGAGGCAGAGAGCUCAGAGCAAACAUCCUGAGCCCAGAACCAGAACUCUGCUGUGACAACACGCCUCCUCCUCAGACUGAAGGCUGUUUGUGAGGCUCUGACAUGUGAUCAUGUGACCGCAGCUCCAUGUUUUUCUCUCUCAGCGCUUCGUCCUGUUCAAACGCUCAUGUAGUCAGAAACAGCUGCUGGCUGGAUGAAGAGAGUGAGACGAGUCACCGAGUCGUGACGUGAUGAUGAAACACAGCAACAACUGCUCCAGGACACAUUUCCUCUGUACACAGACGAGCUGAAUGGGUCAGAACCAAACUCUGAGUCACUGUGAGAUCCAGUCUGUCAUCACAGAUAAACUCCAUGAGGAUUAAAUGAUGUCU